rnacentral:rRNA from 1 species
CUGAACCAGCCAAGUAGCGUGUAGGAUGACUGCCCUAUGGGUUGUAAACUUCUUUUAUAAAGGAAUAAAGUCGGGUAUGCAUACCCGUUUGCAUGUACUUUAUGAAUAAGGAUCGGCUAACUCCGUGCCAGCAGCCGCGGUAAUACGGAGGAUCCGAGCGUUAUCCGGAUUUAUUGGGUUUAAAGGGAGCGUAGAUGGAUGUUUAAGUCAGUUGUGAAAGUUUGCGG